rnacentral:lncRNA from 1 species
ACUUGAAACUUGUUCUUGUCGAUAGAAAUGGUCGAUAAGUUGAUGAAGUAUAGCUCGGCCGCUUGUGGGUUUGUGAUCAUGGGGGUGUAGGCCAUGGACGAAGAAAUGGAGGCGUUCCUGAGCUUGUAGUUCCCGAUUACAAGCUUUCCACGGAAAGUAUCCGAGGGCAAACAGUAGAUAAACUUGCUCCUGUACCCCAACGCGCUCAAUUGCCCCAUGAAUGACACGUUACCCUUGUCAAAACCCACGAAACCAGACGUAUCGAGGAGUUCGAGCAGCCCCCCACUGUCGCGGCCACAACCCAAGGACAAGUUAGCCGCCACUUUUCGGUUUCGUACGGAAUCCAUUGUUGCAAUGUCGCUGACCAAGUCACCAGCCGACGAGAAGUUAGUGCCGUACGAUGUGUUGUACGAGCAAGAGGAGGAUGGUCCACAGCUCGUAGAAACAGCACUGAAUGCCGAGCACGAUGGAGAACCGCACGGAAGCUUGGUGUGAGAAGUUGACAAACCUGGCUGGAAGAGAGAUGCGGUGGUGCAAUUGAUUGCACAGGACGAGGAGCAUGCCACCCAAGAAAACCCGGAGUCCACCGCGAGAGUGAAGUUGAGCGGCUGGGGCGGAGUUCCCAGGCUGAGAUCCAUGGCGAAGUUGAGUGCACCAUCGAAAAAGAAGCUGGCUUCCAAGGCUUGGCUGCUUUUUCGAGAAGAGGGCAAAAACAGGUUAGUGUUGACAAUUGGCGUCCUAUUGGGCGGGAAGAAACCAACACCACGGUUACGAUAUGGAGUCCUUGCACGCUGUCCUUGAAUGCAUCCUGCAAAAGUUACCAACAAGAGUACAAUUGCUACACAAGAGAUCUUCAUUUGGAAACAAGCAAAUUGCAAAGGCAAAGGAGAUAUAUAUCUCGAGUUUACAAAUCAAUUCAGACUGAAUUUUCUAUGUUGACGCGGUUUGUAUAGUAAACUUGACAAGAUAAAGUUUUGAAGGUGUCUUACUUAAACAAGCAGGAGAUACGUCAGGAGAGGAAGAAAAGAAAACGCUUGAGUUCUAGAAGAUUUCAACACGAAGAUGAAAACCAGAAGAAGUGUCAAGGACAAAAAAAAUGGCUGGAUUGAGUCAAAGGUUAGAGCAUCUAGUGAAAAGGCCUUGUCCUCAUCUCUAGUUAACAAGGACAAUUAGAUUGUUGGCAAAAAGAAGACUGACGAUUUUGUCCUAGUCUCGAAUCCAUGGUCGGUGCUUAGAAUGAACAUCAAUAUGGAUAGCAAGAAACAAGCGUCAAUGGCGCAUGAAGUGAUCAUAAAAAAGGACAAAACUCAGCAGUGCCACCAUCGAAGAACAGGGAUCAUGACAAUUUGAAGAGAAAGAAGAAGCACUCGGUCAAAAAAACACCCUUGAAAGAUUCCUUUUGGUUUGAUAACAAGUACAUCCAACGGCCACGAUUGCUUUAGGGUUCUUCGAAUAAGCUAAUCUUUUGGUGCCUGCUACCGUCUUUCACUAAACGCAUAAACGAAUUUUAGGUCGAUUCGAUCGGGUCUAGGGAAAUUUCGAUCGCCCAUGCCGCCAGAUUCUCCCCUCGCGCAUCCAAAUCGAGCGAAAUUCCGCGCUUGACACUUCGCGUCUAGCAAGCUCAUCGAGAUGUACGGAUGGUGCUAGGGUGUUUGAGAAUGUGCCAGGCAUAUUCGAUUUUUAUGAAUCAGAGGCGAUGUGUUCACUGAGAAACCACUUUUUAGAUUGUGAGCAACAAAAGCAGUAGAGCCAGAGUGGUUUCUUGCAAAACUCUGCCAAGGAAGUAGUAGCCAUUGGUGUUACAACCUUGAGCUCCAAAUCUGAACCUCAUUUGCUCCAAGACCAUUGGUACGUCCCUAUGACAUUCUACAGCCCAACGCUCUCAGACCUCCCAAUUGCCAUGCAAAUGGUAUUGUUCACGUUGCCUGAAUAACCAUAUUGGCACUUUGAUUCGAUUGCCGGCACUGCCCAAGAAGUGAUAAGAGAGGGGCUGCCGGUGGAGGAAAGUCGCUGUUUGCCGAGAUGUUGUGGCAAAGCUCCAGGCCAAGAGCAUCUGCAUUGCUGCUUGACACUUCCACCAGAUAGGUGGUGUAGUUUCUUAUUGCUUGUACCACCUGAGUGUAGAAAUCCGAAGCUCAAAAAGGUGGUGGUGUCAAUGACUGUCCUACAGCUUGUAGUUUCAAUUACAAGCUUUUGACAGAAAGUAUCCGAGGAAAACAGUAGAUAAACUUGCUCCUGUAUCCCAGCGCGCUCAAUUUUUGGUUUCGUACGGAAUCCAUUGUUGCAAUGUCGCUGACCAAGUCACCAGCCGAGAAGUUAGUGGCGUACGAUGUGUUGUACGAGCAAGAGGAGGAUGGUCCACAGCUCGUAGAAACGGCACUGAAUGUCGAGCACGAUGGAGAACCGCAUGGAAGCUUGGUGUGAUAGCUGGAAGAGAGAUGCGGUGGUGCAAUUGAUUGCACAGGACGAGGAGCAUGCCACCCAAGAAAACCCGGAGUCCACCGCGAGAGUGAAGUUGAGCGGCUGAGGCGGAGUUCCCAGGCUGAGAUCCAUGGCGAAGUUGAGUGCACCAUCAAGAAAGAAGUUGGCUUCCAAGGCUUGGCUGCUUUUUCGAGAAGAGGGCAAAAACAGGUUAGUGUUGACAAUUGGCAUCCUGUUGGGUGGGAGUCCUUGCACGCUGUCCUUGAAUGCAUCCUGCAAAAGUUACCAACAAGAGCACAAUUGCUACACAAGAGAUCCUCAUUUGGAAACAAGCAACAAAUCACCAUAUCAGAAUUGACUGAAUUUCGUGGUUUUACUUGAUAAGAUAAAGUUCUGAAAGUGUCUUACUUAAGAUACGUCAGGAGAGGAAGAAAAGAAAACACUUGAGUUGUAGACACGAAGACGUAUGUUCAAGCACACAGACGCAUUUUCAGCAUAUUCAUCUAGCAGAAACCAUGUCUGAAAUUCAACCUGUAUGUCAUCCUCUAAGUGAUAAGUCAGAGUUUGUGGUGGUUGUGUGUAGUAAAUAUCAUUGCCAAGCAGUGCUCCAGUUCUGUUGCUCGAUACUUGAGUGAGGUUAGAGUUGAGGUUUUGUAUGGCCUGCACAAGAGGGGUGUAGGAAUCUGCUGUGAAACAGCUGAAUGCAAACGUUGAAUCAAUGAUCGUUCCUUCAGUUCCAUCUGCAAGAAUGCCUUGCACCGGAAAAGUCAACGUGUCGUUGAUACUUAUGGAUCUCAAACCGAUGUAAAUACAACACAGUGGAAUUUGGAUUUACUAUGAUUUCUUAUAGUUGCCGAGCACAAUUUUGCUGCUAAACGUACCAGAUGGAACAAAAUGGAUAAACUUGCUUUCCGUAUCCAAACUAUGUACCUCUCGUCGAGCCACACUAAAAGGAUAAGCCAGCUAAGCGAGCCAUGGGAUUUUGAGAUGGUGCGUUUCAGGACAGAGAGAUUGAAGAACAUAAGGAGCUGCGUCAUUUCUCUGUGCAAAGGUAUAUUGAUUGGCUCUUUGUGGAUGACGCUGCUGCUGAAGUAUCACAAUUAUUGAUUGGUGUAUGCUAUUAUGCUUUUCUGAUUAUGAUUAUUGGACAGUUUUCGCGAGGGAAACAAUGCCAGAAUCAAUUUAGAGUGAGCAGUGUUACAGCAUAAAUAGUCAGAGUGAGUUUACAUGAGUUUCUUUAUUGUCUAACUUUUUAGCUUUUCCAAUGUUUGUCUUGCAUCUUCAACACUUGCAAUUUUCUUAAGCAGAUUGCUUAUUGUUUUCAAUUCUUUGUACAUAUGCCCUUUCUUGUUUUGAAUGCGUGGAUGAUAAUCCCAUUGUUAGGCUGCAAGCAAAAAGACUUUGGCUUCUCAUGCACAAUCACUGUGUGUUUGAUAAUCUUGAGAGAUCUUUCAUAACCUUUUUCCCUCUAGCUUCCUUGGUUGAGCAUGAAUCUCUGUAAAGACAAUGGGCAAAGAGAUUCCCAAAUGGGUCUAGUUUGUCCAAAAUUUUGUUAGCAUAUAACUUCAUUGUUUGAGUAAAAACACAAUCUCAUAUAUCUUAUUCUUAUCCACACUUGGUUUCUUUGCCACAAGGUAUUGUUCUAAUGGAAUAGUUGUUCCACUGAAAAAUUUGAGGGAUGCUGUGGCCUUGUGAGCAUGGAUUAGUGUCCAACACAAGCAUGGGUUUCUUAUCCAAAGUUGGUGGUAGUAGCAAAGAAUUGUCUAACAACUCCACCUUUUUGCUCUUCUCUUUGGUAGUGAUCACAAAACUCCACUCCCCAUACUCCUACAGCCUCUUUAUAGUUAUGAAGAAAGAUAGAAAGAAUGCGAGCCAUAGCUUAAUCACAACAAAUCUUUAUAAAUCAAGUUAAUUCACUUCCAUAAUUCUGGCUAAGUAGCACGUAGAAAUUCACUCCAUGCUCAGGAUCCUUGUGGCAAGCAGCCAGCAGUGAGACCCAAGCAACACUCUCAGGCUUGAAGGGCAUGUUAUGGAUAAGCUCCUCGGCCUUGUCCAACUCUUCAGCCCUUGCAAAUGUGUCAGCAAGCCCACAGUAGUGUUCUCCCGUAGGACUUUAUAAUCUGGGAUCAUCGACUGAAAGUAGUCCUCACCAUGCUCAAGUGGCAGCAUGCCACAAGCAUGCUCAUAAAGACGAUGUGAUCAGGCAUUGUGCUCUCCUGGAUGAUCCUGUGAAAGGUUUCCAAGGCCUCAGUUACAUGCCCGGUGGAAGCAUACAUGGCCACCACUACAGUGCAUGAGAGCAAGUCUCGCUUUGGCAUUCUCUCAAACGAAACUCAAGCUUCCAAGAGGAGUCCCUUGUGAGCAAAACCCACCACCAUUGCCACCCAUGCGAUUGCAUCACGCUCCUCGAUCGCCUGGAAGAGGCUCAUUGCUUCUUGGAGGUGGCCAUUCCAGAGAUAGGCCAAGAGGAGUGCUGAUUCAAUCAAAAAUAAACUUUGCAUUUUCACAAUGGUUUCUAGAGGCAAGCAUAUGAAUCAUUGUCGUCCAAGAGAUCUUGUCGCAGUGAGACAUGUUUUGGAUAGAAUCCAGUGCCUCCUCCAAAUGCGCAGUCGCAGCAUAUGCAUAGAGCAUGGAGUUCCAAGCAACCACGUCUUUGUUUGGCACCAUCUCAAACAAAGCUUUAGCUUCUUCCACGCAGCCGUUAAAUGCGUAGCCGUCCAUCAUAGCCGUAAAUGCCGCCUCAUUAAGAUCCGGGGCAUCUUCAAAGAGAAUCUUUGCUUGGCAUAUUCUGUGAUCAUGGUCGCCCAUGUUACUACAUUCCUUGUGGGCAUUCUAUGGUUCUGGCAGUGGCCUAUCAUGGCCGUCCAACGUCCUUUUGGGGCAGAUUAUCGAACACCUCACUCACGCGUGAGAGAUGCCCGUUAUGGGCAUAUGCCAUGAUCAUGGCGGAGAUUGCUCCGGCAAGGACCGCCUCUGCCUUGCCGAGAUUGCCACUCUGCGAGUACAUCUCGAUCAUCGUGCUCCAGGUGAUGGAAUUCUUUGGCAGGGAUGCGAUCGAAGAGCUGCUUGGCGCGCUGCACGUCCCCGGCCGAGAUAUCUGGACGAGGAGAUUUCGCAGGAAUACGCUGUUAUUGUGGUCGCUGUGAAGGAUCUGGGCGUGGAUCCGGCGGGCAUCGCUGGGAUUGUCGCAAGAUCUGACGAGGGCGGGAAGCUCUUGGACUCGCAUCGCAUCAUGAUGAUGGGGACGUCCGAGGUUCAAGUCCUGGCAGGUUCUAAGCUUCCAGCCACGAAGUUUUCAUGGCACGCGGCUAUAACUCAUCCCCCAUCGUGCAGCCGCACUCCAAAUGCUGGAGGUAAUCGCAAUUGGGCACGCUCGUUAGAAACACAAUUAAUUUCAUUUUUUCUUGUAGCUUGGAUGGAUUUCUCUUGCUGCGAGUUCAGCAAGUUGUCCAACGAAUGACUUGUUUGUCUUUGCAAAUCCCACCAGGCCUGAUGCAUUGAGAAUUCCCAGCAAUCUCGUGCUUUCUCGACCACAUCCAAGUGAGAUUCUGAGGCUUUAAUUGCCUCUAGUUUUACGUGGAGUUUUCAUGGUUACAGCCAUCUCACCAGCUGAGGAGUAUUUGGGGCUGUAAGAAACAUUAUAUAAGCAUGUCGUGGAACCCACUGCUGAAGAUCCGCAAGCGUUUGUGGAGAAAGCAGGGGACGUCGAGCAGAAAGGAGAGGUGCAAGGAAUAGAUGUGGAUGAUACCGAUGACAGAGGGGUUCGUUUGUGGAAACAUUGCAAUCGAUGCAAGGAGAGCACGCACAGCCCAGAAGAAUUCCGAGUUAAGAUGGUGAAGUUGUGCUGCAUAGGAGGAGUUCCCAAAUUGAGAUUCAUGGCGAAGUUGCAGCCGUUAUCUACAUACAAACUCGGGUGGAGUUCGCUGGAGUUCGUCUUUGCUUCCAGGCGGCAACUCCCAUCUCGAAGAAUAACAUUGGCAAACCCUAAAGGAGCAGCCUUGGCACUAAAUUCCCAAAUGCACACAAGAGCCAGUAGGAAACAAAGCACAGACCGACGAACUAGCUAGACUGAGAGACUCAGUGAGGUUGAUAUAUCAACAGUUUUCAUAAACAUCAUCCAGUAAAAGAUAAGACCUAACACUUAAAAUUAUUUCGGUUUACCUUUUACCAAUAUAAAACCAUAGCAUGGCAAAACCUACAUAGCUAUGGCAAGGGCAAAGAAGGCGGCCACUGCACCGAAGUUAGCCAAGUCACAGAGAGACAAGAAAAAUGGCUGGAUUGAGCCAAAGGUUACAGUAUCUAGUGAAAAGGCCUUGUCCUCAGCUCUAGUUAACAAGGAAAAUGAGAUUGUUGGCAAGAAGAAGACUGACGAUUUCGUGCUAGUCUCGAAUCCAUGGUCAGUGCUUAGAUUGAACAUCGAUAUGGAUAGCAAGAAACAAGCGUCGGUGGCUCAUGAAGCGAUCAUCAAAAAGGACAAGCAAAACUCAGCAACGCCACCAUCAAAGAACGGUGAGCUGGAUCAUGCCAAUUUGAAGAGAAAGAAGAAGCACUCUAAGAAAUCAUCAAGCGCUGCCCUGGAGAACAAGGAUGAAUCUGAUGCCAGGAAAAUCGAAUUGGAACGUGAGGAAGUGGUUGAGGAAACGGCCUUGAAAGAAGAAAGAGUGGUCGAUCAGAGCUCGGGACUCUUGAUCGUAGUGACUCUUUUAGUUAUUGCUAUCUUGUUCUUCAUGCUAAUGUGAAACAAGGUUUUCCUUUUGGUUUGAUAACAAGUACAUCCAACGGCCACGAUUGCUUUAGGGUUCUAGCUUGUGGGCGGCUAAUCUUUUGGUGCUCUUCCACUAAACGCAUAAACGAAUUCUAGGUCGAUUCGAUCGGGUCUAGGGAAAUUUCGAUCGCGCAUGCGGCCGGAUUCUCCCUUCGCGCAUCCAAAUCGAGCGAAAUUCCGCACUUCGCGUCUAGCUAGAGCCAGGACAAUCUCAUCGAGAGCCGUGUUUUUUAGAAUGUGCCAGGCAUAUUCGAUCUUUAUGAUUCGUUUUUUGAAUAUUGGCAUAUUCGACACUUUCUAGAUUGUGAGCAAAAAAUGCUCCAAGUCAUAUUCCACGGUCAAGUCGAGCUGCUGGUACGUCCCUAUGACAUUCAGGUACAGUCCAACGCUGUCAGACAGCCCGAUUGCCAUGCAAAUGGUAUUGUUCACGUUGCCUGAAUCAUCAAGCAAAAACCAUGGUGGCACUUCGAUUCGAGCACCGGCACCGCCCAAGAAGUGAUAAGAGAGGGGCUGCUGGUGGAGGAAAGUGAUGUUGUGGCAAAGCUCCAGGCCAAGAGCAUUUGCGAUGCUGCUUGAUACUUCCACCAGAUUGGUGGUGUAGUUUCUUAUUGCUUGUACCAGCUGAGUGUAGAAAUCCGAUGCCAAGUAGCUCAAAAAGGUGGUGGUGGCAAUGACUGUUCCACUGGAAAGAAGUCCCUGAAUUGGACUUGAAACUUGUUAUUGUCGAUAGAAAUGGUAGCUAAGUUGAUGAAGUAGAGCUCGGCUGCUUGUGGGUUUGUGAUCAUGGAGGUGUAGGCCAUGGACGAAGAAAUGGAGGCGUUCCUGAGCUUGUAGUUCCCAAUUACAAGCUUUCCACGGAAAGUAUGCUAGGGCAAACAGUAGAUAAACUUGCUCCUGUGCUCAAUUGCCCUAUGAAUGACACGU